rnacentral:rRNA from 1 species
CCUACGGGUGGCAGCAGUGGGGAAUAUUGCUCAAUGGGCGAAACCCUGAUCCAGCGACGCCGCGUGAAGGAAGAAGUAUUUCGGUAUGUUAACUUCUAUCAGCAGGGAAGAAAAUGACGGUACCUGACUAAGAAGCCGCGGCUAACUACGUGCCAGCAGCCGCGGUAAUACGUAGGGGGCAAGCGUUAUCCGGAUUUACUGGGUGUAAAGGGAGCGUAGGCGGGGUUGCAAGGCAGAAGUGAAAGCCCGGGGCUCAACUCCGGGACUGCAUUUGAAACUGUGUUGCUAGAUUGCAGGAGAGGUAAGUGGAAUUCCUAGUGUAGCGGUGAAAUGCGUAGAUAUUAGGAGGAACACCAGUGGCGAAGGCGGCUUACUGGACUGUAAAUGACGCUGAGGCUCGAAAGCGUGGGGAGCAAACAGGAUUAGAUACCCCAGUAGUC